CCUACGGGGGGCAGCAGUGGGGAAUAUUGGACAAUGGGGGCAACCCUGAUCCAGCCAUGCCGCGUGUGUGAAGAAGGCCCUCGGGUUGUAAAGCCCUUUCAGUGAGGAAGAACGCCUGGUGGUUAAUACCCAUCAGGAAAGACAUCACUCACAGAAGAAGCACCGGCUAACUCCGUGCCAGCAGCCGCGGUAAUACGGAGGGUGCGAGCGUUAAUCGGAAUUACUGGGCGUAAAGCGCGCGUAGGUGGCUUGAUAAGCCGGUUGUGAAAGCCCCGGGCUCAACCUGGGAACGGCAUCCGGAACUGUCAAGCUAGAGUGCAGGAGAGGAAGGUAGAAUUCCCGGUGUAGCGGUGAAAUGCGUAGAGAUCGGGAGGAAUACCAGUGGCGAAGGCGGCCUUCUGGACUGACACUGACACUGAGGUGCGAAAGCGUGGGUAGCAAACAGGAUUAGAUACCCUUGUAGUC
rnacentral:rRNA from 1 species